rnacentral:lncRNA from 1 species
CUGCUUCCCCCCUCUCCCCAGCCCUUCCCUUUCCCGCCAUUUCCCCCCUCAUACCUCUCUUCCCCUGUCCUUGUUCCCUUUCCCUUUCCCUUUCCCUUUCCCUUUCCCUUUCCCGUUUCCCUCUCACUCUCCUAUCUUUCCCUUCCCUUUUUCCCUUUCCCCUCGCCUCUCGCCUUUCCCGCUCCUGCCCUUCCCUGUUCCCUCUCCCUCUCCCUCUCCCUCUCCCUCUCCAUCUCCCUCUCCCUCUCUCCCUCAGCAUGUCUCAGAAAGGGACAAAAAAGGGAGGAGCACCCUCACCCAGAGCGAGGUAAGUGAGACCCACUCGCAAAGAUAACGGUGAUGACACAAUGAUAAUGUUGACAAAGAUGAAGUCAGACCCUUUUGUCCUAUUCUCCUUCUCUCCGCCCCCUAACAGCACGUCAUCAAACACCUCCUCUGGACACGGGGCCCCUGGGCGCCCCGCGCUCCGCCAGCCCAAGGCAGGAGAAAAUGGCAACAGCUCCAAGAGCGGCAGGAGCCACAGCCAGGGCUCUGUAGCAGCUGUCUACCUGUCCUACCUCAACACUCUCUUUGGACAGGAUAGGGAGCUGAUGCCUGAGGAGUUGGAUGGUAAGUCUUUGUUAUUGAUGAUAGAAAUGUACUAUGAAAGUGCAGCCCACUGCGUGGGCGAGAGUCCAUUUUACCAGUUCACUUAAGGGUAGUGCCAGCGAUAUGAUGACACCCUAGACCCAAACUGUUACAGACCUAUAUCCAUCCUGCCCUGCCUAUCUAAAGGCUUCGAAAGCCAAGUUAAUAAACAGAUCACUGACCAUUUCGAAUCCCACCGUACCUUCUCCGCUGUGCAAUCCAGUUUCUGAGCCGGUAACGGGUGCACCUCAGCCACGCUCAUGUUACUAAACGAUAUCAUAACCGACAUCGAUAAAAGACAGUACUGUGCAGCCGUCUUCAUCGACCUGGCAAAGGCUUUCGACUCUGUCAAUCACCGUAUUCUUAUUGGCAGACUCAAUAGCCUUGGUUUCUCAAAUGACUGCCUCGC